CAGUCGCCGCGGUAAUACAGAGGAUGCAAGCGUUAUCCGGAAUGAUUGGGCGUAAAGCGAGCGCAGGCGGUCAAUUAAGUCUGAUGUGAAAGCCCCCGGUUCAACCGGGGAGGGUCAUUGGAAGCUGGUUGACUUGAGUGCAGAAGAGGAGAGUGGAAUUCCAUGUGUAGCGGUGAAAUGCGUAGAUAUAUGGAGGAACACCAGUGGCGAAGGCGACUCUCUGGUCUGUAACUGACGCUGAGGCUCGAAAGCGUGGGUAGCAAACAGGAUUAGAUACCCCGGUAGUCCCUGUCUCUUAUAA
rnacentral:rRNA from 1 species